AUGGGAUUCGAGGACAUCAAGUUAUUUAACCUUGCCUUGUUAGCAAGGCAAGCGUGGAGGAUCUUGCAGGACCCUAGCUCUUUAAGCGCCCGAGUUUUGAAGGCUCGCUAUUAUCCGGAGUGCGAUUUCCUUGCUGCUCCUCUAGGCUCUAAUCCAUCGCAAGGACUCGUCAAGCGGAUCAGCUCAGGUAUAGAAACUAAUAUGUGGCACGGAAAUUGGCUGCCAAGAGAUUUUAAACUGCGCCCCAUGUGUGCGCUCUCGGCCAACCCUCCAUCUUUAGUAAUUGAGCUCAUUGAUCAAGGUACUAAAGCGUGGGACGGACAGAAGCUGCAUGAGCAUUUUGUUGAACCAGACAUUGAUGUUAUUGUCAAUAUCCCGCUGAGCACGAGAGUUCGGAGUGAUUUCUGAGCGUGGCAUUACGACAAAAGGGGUGUGUCUGUUCGUUCAGCUUAUAGGAUGAUCUCGGGCAUUAAGGCUCAAUGCGAGGAUUGGCUCGAGCACCGGCCAAGUAUCUCAAAUCAUACUGCCACCAAGAGGGACUGGACCAGCUUAUGGAAGAUGAAAGUUUCAUCAAAGGUUCGUGUUUUUGCAUGGAGACUUGCACGCACAUCCUUACCAACAGGCACAAUCAGAUUUGACAGGAACAUGACAACCACGCUAGUAUGCACUAUUUGUGGGUCUGCGGAAGAUACUUGGCGGCAUUCACUUUUCAAGUGUAGCAUGGCGCGCUAUGUUUGGGCAUUGGGGGAUGAGGAAAUCCUUGAACAUGCAAUAUCAAAC
rnacentral:rRNA from 1 species